ensembl:lncRNA
AGGGCUUGGAGGAGAUUCGUCACGUCGUGCCCGCCUCUCGGCUCUUGGCAUCCAAGGAUGGGAGGAGGGAACAGAAGGUAAAAGCGCCAUGGAUGGAGCUCUCAGGUGGGACUGGCACCGUCUGAGGCCUUACCGAUGGAAAAUGGGAAGCAGAGCCACAAGGAGUUUCUGCUCAAGAGAACAGACCGGCUCGAGAUGCUCCUCCUGUCGCCUGAUCAACCCUGGCAACCACAAGUCCUGUUGCUGCAGGGCCAGUGCUCCCAUGGGAAGGAGUUGAACCAGUGUCCUGGGACUCUGCCCUUUGUGCUGGGACCAGAGCUUCAUCCAGUUCUCCAUCCUCACGUAGGCCCCCAGGGGUGGAGCAGGGGUGUUGGGAGGCAGCAUCCUCUCUCAGUUGGCUUCGGCAUCUCUGGGUGCCUGUGAGCUCCAUACAGCUGCUCUGCCAGUGCAGGUGUUUCUGAGUAAAUAACCACGGCCCUUAAUAAGUCCAGACUCAGUCGCUUUUUUAACAAAAGAGGUUCCACACCCUUCUGGAAGGCUGGAUGCACUCACAGCAACCUUUGCCCACCUUCACUAUUUGAUCACUGACAGUAAGUUUCCAUCUCCCUAGGUGUAUCAGGAACUGCACAGGAUAGAAUAAAAUUAUUACAACAUGCACCUCUUGAGCGCCUACUUUGUGUCAAGAACCAUGCUAACCCAAAAGCACAGUGGUGAGCGGAUUACACUUGGAUUCUGCCCCUGCUGCUGCAAACUCACCGAAGAACAUGCCAGACACGCAGACAGCUCAGAAAAGAGCCAGGGGCCAGGCCGCAGUGCCUUCUGCCAGGGCUCUUGAAAGCAGGGGCCAUGGAGGCUGAGGAUGUGAGGGAAUGCUUCCCAGCAGCAGUAGCAUUUGAGGUCUUGCAGGAUGGAGGACAACCAUUCCAGGCAGGGGUACUGAAGAGAGCAUGGACAUACAAAGCUGGUGACACCAGGUCAGAGGAGACAGACACACUCAGCUUCCCAUGAGUGCAUGAAAGAUCCAGGCUGGAGCCUUCUCUGGGAGGAAGUUGGUCUGGGGUGGGGCCGAGGGGGCCGAGUCUCCCCUACCUGAAGGAAGAGAGGGUUAGACGUCGCACGUGUGUAUUCUCAUCCCUCCGUCUCCUCUCUCACGAAGGCAUUUUCUCGAGUACUUCCUCUCAUGAGCACUGCACACCAUUCCCCUGCCUGCUUUCUCUCCACCUACUAGCAAGGCAAAGCUCCCAGCCUGCCCCAGCCUGGACACCUGCCCCAGCCUGGACACCUGCUGGCAAAAAUCUACAGCCCCACUGAUUGGCCUCAACCUGAAAUCAGGACCACUGAUUCAAAGAACACUCGACCAUGCAGCCAAGUCACCUGCCCUGCUCUGGUGUGUUUCCUCUCCCACUCUUCAAUGUGAUUCUUCCACACCAUCUUCUCCUCCCUACCUUCUCAAACUCCUCAUUUGGCUUCCCCCUACCAAUUUCCUAGCCAGGACCUUAUUCUUAUGUCACUGAGCAAAACCAUUAGAAGGGGACUGAGCAUCUUCCCACCACCACCUCAACCCGUCACCUGCAUCUGUCUCCACCUUCAUGUCCUGGAGGAGGAAGAGCCUUGCUCUCAUCAGAGGAAGCUCCUCCUCCUGGGUGGGGGCCCUUCUUGUGCCUUCCCAGGACUUUGAGUCUGCCAUUGUGCCCCUGUCUCUGGCAUCACUAACGUCCCUCUCUGCAUUAGAUAAUGGCCUGCAGUGUGCAUGAAGAUGUCUUAAGGAGACUGUCCUCUAGGGCCCCUCACCUCUAUCCAGCGAUGGCUGUACUUCUCCUCCAGGCCAGCCAAGGCCCCUGCUGGGUGAGGCGUGUGUUCAUGUGUUGGUCCCCAAUGUCCCUUGAUUGAAGAGUGAUGUCUACUUUUUUCUGCUGGUGCGCUGGCCAGGUGGCUGCCUCUAGCUCCCCUGGCUCCUAUGCUGUGAUGAAAAUCUCCCCAGUCCCAGGCUUUUGUGUCCUGCAGUGAAACAGCCUUGCCUUGCCCCUCACCUAGUGGAUCCCAGUCAGCCUUUAUAUUAUAGCUGAAGAGUCACUUCCUCAGGGCACCUGCUUCCCUGGCCACAGAGGCCAAUUUUCCCUCCGGUGAGAGGCUUCCCCUGCAUCCCUGUAGACCUGGCACCAUGAGAGUGUCAGAUCUGAGUGGUGUGUUUUUUGAUAUGGGAGUGUUGGCUGGAAGUUAGAAGACUUGUUCAUGAGCCCCUUGCUCCUCUGUGCAGGAGCCUGAAGCCGGCCCCUGUGGCUUUGUCCUGACCGCAUGCCGCUGCCCUGAGGACCACACUCUCUCCUGGCUGGCAGCCCUGCUCCAAAGCUUUCCGAGCACUUCCAGCUGGAGCUCGGGGCGGGUGGGCAUCACUUUCAUGAACUGUCAGUUUACCAUUGAAGAACGGGAGGAGGGAGAAUUGAAAGGAAAGGAGAGAGGGAGGAGCGCAGGGUUGGCACAUUGCUGCUGCUGCGGCCGAGAUGCACCAAAGUGUCACCAGAAGCUGGGACAAAGCCGGGGGUGGCUCCUCCCUCAGAGCCUCAGAGAAGCCCACCUUACUGACAACCGGACUCCUGGUCUCCAGAGCGGCAGGAGAACACACUUCUGAGGCUUGGAGGCCCCUGCACUGUGAAAAGUUGUGACUGCAGUCCCAGGAAAUGGAUACAAUGAUCUGAAAACAUCAGGGGAUUUGGUAACAUGGAUCUCAUUGGCAUAAAAUAAAUAGGCAGAAAAUCUAAUUCUUUAAAUCUGUUUGCGUUUUGGCACAUUGGCUGAUCCAUUUUACUAUCCACUAAUUGAAUAAAUACAUGAAAACUAUUUUGUUUUUGAAAACGGAGGCGACAGGAGCCUGCAGUGCACGUUAGAGGGCACACAGAGGGAGGUCACCCUCAGGACCCAGCUGACCCCAUAGGAUAGAACAUUUCCAAGUGUUGCAGCCUCCGUAAGGACUAGGGGUCACAGCGCUGCUGUUCUGCAAAUUUAUCUCGGAAUCAUUUUCACAAACUCUGUUUUGGGUUAAAGACAGAAAUCUAUCAAACAGCACACAGA